CCUACGGGUGGCAGCAGUAGGGAAUAUUUCACAAUGGGGGAAACCCUGAAGCAGCAACGCCGCGUGGAGGAUGAAGGUUUUAGGAUUGUAAACUCCUUUUGUGAGAGAAGCUAAUGACGGUAUCUCACGAAUAAGCAGCGGCUAACUCCGUGCCAGCAGCCGCGGUCAUCCGGAGGGUGCAAGCGUUACUCGGAAUCACUGGGCGUAAAGAGUGCGAAGGCGGGCUUGUAAGUCAGAUGUGAGAUCCUUUAGCUUAACUACAGAACUGCAUUUGAGAAUAUGAGUUUAGAGUGUGGGAGAGGUAUGUGGAAUUCUUGGUGUAGGAGUAAAAUCCGUAGAUAUCAAGAGGAAUACUCAUUGCGAAGGCGAGCUACUGGAACAUUACUGACGCUCAUGCACGAAGGCGUGGGGAGCAAACAGGAUUAGAUACCCUUGUAGUC
rnacentral:rRNA from 1 species